rnacentral:rRNA from 1 species
AUUGAACGCUGGCGGCAGGCCUAACACAUGCAAGUCGAGCGCGCGGCGGACGGGUGAGUAAUGUCUGGGAAACUGCCCGAUGGAGGGGGAUCACUACUGGAAACGGUAGCUAAUACCGCAUACCAUCAGAUGUGCCCAGAUGGGCGUUGCUGGUAGGUGGGGUAACGGCUCACCUAGGCGACGAUGCCUAGCUGGUCUGAGAGGAUGACCAGCCACACUGGAACUGAGACACGGUCCAGACGCCUACGGGAGGCAGCAGUGGGGAAUAUUGCACAAUGGGCGCAAGCCUGAUGCAGCCAUGCCGCGUGUGUGAAGAAGGCCUUCGGGUUGUAAAGCACUUUCAGCGGGGAGGCGUUACCCGCAGAAGAAGCACCGGCUAACUCCGUGCCAGCAGCCGCGGUAAUUC